rnacentral:rRNA from 1 species
GACGAACGCUGGCGGCGCGCUUAACACAUGCAAGUCGAGCGAGAACCAGGGCUUCGGCCCUGGGGAAAGCGGCGAACGGGUGAGUAACACGUGAGUAAUCCACCCUCGGUACCGGGAUAGCCCGGGGAAACCCGGAUUAAUACCGGAUGGCCCAACAGCUCUGCGGGGCGGUUGGAAAAGGUAGCUUCGGCCUCCGACCGAGGACGAGCUCGCGGCGGAUUAGCUUGUUGGCGGGGUAACGGCCCACCAAGGCGACGAUCCGUAGCUGGUCUGAGAGGACGAUCAGCCACACUGGGACUGAGACACGGCCCAGACUCCUACGGGAGGCAGCAGUGGGGAAUCUUGCGCAAUGGGCGAAAGCCUGACGCAGCGACGCCGCGUGCGGGAAGAAGGCCUUCGGGUUGUAAACCGCUUUCAGGAGGGACGAAGCCACUCGGGUUAAUAGCCCAGAGGGUGACGGUACCUCCAGAAGAAGCCCCGGCUAACUACGUGCCAGCAGCCGCCGUAAUAC